AAUAAAAGUUAAUAUUAGAGCAUUAGUAUGCGAUGCGCCUGCUAGAGCUUUUAUAUGCGGUGCACCUAGCCAUGGAUCUUCGCACGGCUGCAGCAAAUGUACGCAAAUCGGAAAGAAACAAAACAAUGUGCUAGUAUACAGUUCUGUGUCAGGUGAUCUUAUUACUGACAGUGAUUUCUUAAAUAGAAAAUAUAUGACACAUCACUUACAUAAAUUUAAAAAUUCUAAGACACCAUUUGAAAACAUAGAUUUGAAAAUGAUAAGUCAAGUAGCAUUAGAUGGUAUGCAUUUACUAGAUUUGGGGGUAAUGCGUAAAUACUUAUUAAGAAUAUUACAAGAUAAAGUAAAUUUGAAAGUUGAAAAGAUAAAAAAAUUAGAAAUGUCAGAACUUUUAGAAUCAUUAAAACCGUAUAUACCAAAGGAAUUUGUAAGAAAGCCCAGAACAUUCAACGAAAUUUCAAACUGGAAAGCAACAGAGUUUCGUCAAUUUCUUCUUUAUACAGGAGUUCUUGUUUUGAAAGACAAUGUUCAUGAUGAUCUUUAUUAUGAAUUUUUGCUCUUGCUUUGCUAAUGUAGGAUGCUAUUUUGUCCAAAAUAAUAUAUAUGAAAAUUUUAGGUACUGCUGAAAAUUUGCUAUCGUUGUUUGUUCAAAACUUUUCCACAAUUUUCGGAAAUUCCAGUUUGACAUACAACGUACACAAUUUACUUUACAUAACAGAAAGCAUAAAAUCAAUAGGUUCAUUUUCAAGCUUUUCGGCGUACGAUUUCGAAAAUUAUCUACAGACUCUGAAAAAAUAUGUUAAAAAACCGACUCACAUACUCCAACUAGUAAAUCAAAUAGCAGAAGAACGCUUGCUCAGAAAAGAUAAACCCAAUGGGUUUAAAGAAUUAAAAAUCAAAGGUUUAUGUUUUAUUUCAAGGAUUGUAUAUUGGGUUCAAAACAACCUGACAGCUAUUGCCUUAUUAAUCCUUAUGAACCAAUAGAAAUUCAAAGAUUUUCUGAAGACAAAAAAUUUGUUAUAGGGAAAAAAUUUACAAAUUUAAGAAGCUAUUUUUGUGAACCGGUCGAUUCGUUUACAUUGGGUAUAUGUACAGCUGAUUGCUCAUUAGAUAGUACGGAAGUUUAUUAUCCUAUAGAAAAAAUAGAAUGUAAGUUAAUGGGUCUUCGUUAUAAUGACAGUAUGCUACUUCUGCCACUUUUGCAUGGGUGCUAUUAAUUAAUCUGUAAAUAACAAAAUCUGUAAAUAAAUAAAUCUGUAAAUCUGUAAAUAAAUCACACUUUUUAGAAAAUCAAGAGAAUAGUUUUAGGAGAUUCGGAAAACAUAGCAACACCGUAUAAGAAACCAGUUCCAGCAUGCGAGCGUUGUACAUACUUAGUGGAGGGACUGAAAACUGUGCAAGAAACCGUGGACAAUUUAAAAAAAAAAUGUAAUUCAACCGUAUCUACUCAAAAUGAUGCUGUGAUGUCUGCACUUGCUCAUCAAAAGAUUCUAUUAGAAAAGUUAGUACGGCAAGACAACGUACUUAUUUCGGUAAAGCAAUAUUUUCCAAUAAAAAACACUGAGGGCCAAUUGAAUCAAAAAUUGUUCCCGAAAACACUCAUUUGUUUGACAUUAUUUAACCAUUCGAUGAUGAAAAACUUAACCUAUGUGUUGACAACCGAAAUAAUAAUUGCAUAUAAUAUCGACGGGACGCACGGCAAGAAAGGUCUGAAGGAGUUUAAAACUUUUUACUCAGCCUUGUUGGAAUCGAUAAAUAGCAUAACGAGUUGUGAUGAGCCUGAUGUGCAA